rnacentral:tRNA from 1 species
GGAGAAAACAGGCGUAUAGCAGGGCUGCUAACUUUGCUCUGGGCAGAUCAUUUCUGUCCUUUCUCCU